AGGAAAUGCAUUAGGAAAACUUCUAAGAUCUGAAAGUACACUGAAUCAGUGAGAAUCCUACCCAGAAUCUAAGAUUUUCAAAACCUCAAACUUGCAACACAGCUGCAAGUGCACAGCACAGCUGAAAGUAUCCAGAACAUCUAAUAGUAUCAGCAACAAUGUCCAACUGUGCUUACAAACUGCAGUGAAGUCACCUGCAGAACCUCUGUCACUGCUACAUGAUGUAGUAAAGAAGCUUUAUACGUGUUUCACUUGCACACACAUGCAGAAUUAGGUAUGAUCUGUGCUUGUAAGUUAAACCCACCCUAACCUCUAACAGCAGGAGUAGCUGUUUUACCCAGGAGGAAAGGAAAUAUCAGUCAAGCAGAACAUGUAUUUACUGCCCUGAGGCACAGCUGAAGGCAUGGGUGGGGGAAGGGAUGCUACUGAAAAGCUCAUGGCAUCAGUUAUUCCCCAGAGAUGGGAUUCGAUUGCAUGGCUAGAGAUCAUGCUCUGCAGCAAAUAUCCAGGGGAGCUGCCAUCUUAGCAUGGACUGGGGGCAAGGCAGGCCUUGUUCUGAGCAAGCCCAGGGGCAUUGCCACUGUCUGCAAGCUACUGCAAACACAGAAAUAAAAUAGUAAAGCAGGAAAAUCAAAGAAGUCCAUAGGUUUUCAUCUGGUUUAAUUUCCUUUCAUCUGCUGGAGUUCCCUUUACAAGCUAAGAUAGAUCAAGCUGAAUCAGUUCUCUGGACAAAUAAGCAAAUUUGGGAAACACAGAAAAUUGUACUUGUGAGGGGCAGCAUUCUUAAAGUAAACCACAAACACAAGUGCUCUAAUGUGUGAAAUUAUCUCCUCAGCAAAAUGCAUCAGAGAGUGUACAGAUAUCCUCUCAUUUCAAGACUUGCAACAUAAAUUCAGAAAACUGAAUUCAACAUAAAGUAGAGACAAAAAAAUUAUCAGAGGAAAACCCCCACAUUUGUUCCACUUGGUGUUUCCCUCACAUCCAACUCCUAAAUAAUGCAGACCACCAGAGACGCUGCUGCCCAGCUGCUUCCGAGGCAACUUCUAGAAGACUCCAUGAUAAAUACUAGUUUAUUUUUAAAGUUUAUUUCCAUUCAAGUAUUUAUUGAAUUUGAUAAAGCAAGUUACAAAGUUCAGUAUGUAGAGAAUAGCCUUAAAAAAUUCUGCCCAAAAAACGGCAUGCCUGCAAACCUGGCAAAUGAUAUUUCCCCAAAGUGAAGACUUUGUUAUGCAGGACGAGUUAUCUUGACCUAUGCAGCUUCUUGAAUGGAUUUCAGAAAUAAUUAUGUCAAAAUACACAGAGUAGAACACUUCCCUUGCACUUUCCAACUCCUUUAAGCCUUCAAAUAUACUCUUGGAUUUUUUCCAAAGAUUGCUUUUCUUUCAAAAACUAGGUUCUUCCCCCAGAAGAAAAAAUGAACCCAAAAACCUAGAGCCUCUUGGAAAAAAAAAUUAUCACCAGAAUAUUUAUGAAAUUAGUGAGGGAACAAAAACAGCCAUCAAACAUACAUAAAACAGGCCCAUCUAUCUUUCUAAAUACUCAUUAUAUCAUAAGCAAAGGAGGAUUACAAAUUGAACCAAGCUAAGCACAGCAUAUUUACUUAAAGACAAUAAACCCUUUAAAAAAUUCCUCUUGAUCUCAUCAGUUAAACAGUGGAGGACAAAACCACAGAUUGCUAAAGAAGGCUAAAAAUGUUUUAGCAUCUAUUUAGGCUUAAGACUCUUCCUUCUCAUCAAUAUUAGAAGAGCAAUCAUACUGAAUGCCUUGGAGAACUGAACUGAACCAUCGAGACCAUUCUUUCACUCACAAGCUGCAGGAUUUCCCUUGCAGUCAAUAACACUUACAUAUAUAUAUGUAUAUAUAUAUAUAUACACCUUUGUGCAGAACUCAUUCUUGAAAAUAUUGACACAUCUAGUCUUGUCUGUGACUUCACAUGACUUUUUUCCCCUCUGGUCAGAUAUGCUUGGCAAUGAAUGAGACAGAAGGAAGUGACAGUAUUUAUACAGACAUCCAUACAAAGUAAUCCAAAUUCUCUCCAUUCCCAGAAUUAAGGCACACUGUAAGAUGCUCCAACAGUCUUUCAAGCAGGUCAACCUUGAGUAGCAAAACAUUAUCCUUUGUAGUAUAUUCAAUAGAUUCCAAGAUUCUAUGAAGUAUUUGUAUUUUUUUGUAAUUUGUUGGAUCAUACCUGAAUUUUUAAACUUUGGAACUUAGCAAGCACAAACUACUCUCAAGUGCUUUGGAACUUAUGUUCUCCUAUAAAAUUAACUACUCUUAAUAAUCACUGCACAUUUCCUAGUAUUACAUAACAAACCAAAAGAAAGCUCCUUCAAUCAGGCCUUCCACAAAAUUUUUUCCAGAAUUGCUCCAAGAGCAGCACAUAUAUAACAUUUUAUUUAGGCCACACAAGUGGCAACCUCCCCUAUACUUCAAGAAGUCUUGUAGAUGUUCUCUCAAAAUUAAAUUAUGUUUGUUUGACCAAACAUAUUUGUUUGGUCACUUUUUAUGUGCUGUUUCAAUAUCUUAAAUCUACAAAGUAUCAAUUUUAAAUUAACUAAGUGCUUCCUAUACAGCAUCAGCUUCUUGCCUUACUCUUCAUUAAGAGCUGUGGUUAUUUGCUCAUAGUUUACUUCUCUUCUGUGCCUACAGUCAUGGUAGGAUAUGAUUCUAAAAAUAUUUGCCUCUUUAAAGAAAUUUUAAAAAGCCAUAGGUUCUUCCCCAUCUUGUGAACAUAGCCCAGUGUAGUAAUGAUUGGUUUAUUCCUUCUCAUAGUAUUUUAAAAAACACUUUAACAUCCUGACAGACUCUGAAGUCUUCACCAAAGAAGGAGAACAUCCAGCACUCACAGACCUGCUGGCAACACAAAUCAGUCCCUCUAAGGUGCACCUGACACCACCUCAACUUGCACUGACUCCAAUUCAAAGUCACACACAGUUUGUCAGUUCUCUUACUGGGUAUCCUUCAAACCAAUGGUUACCCCAAGAUAACCUGGGAGUUAUAAAUCCUUACGGUAACACACACGUGCAUGUGUCCAGCUGUACAGAAAAAUGUUUGUCAUUAUCUCUACUGCCAAUGACCUCCCAGUCUGGGGCUCCUAAUCUCAACCAGUCCUCUUCCACACCCUCCCCUUCCCCAAGCUCUGCCCCAGGUGCAGAAAACACAAGGUUAUUACAGAGUGAAAACCUCUAGAAGUGUAUGUUCUAACCACUAACAUCAUGUUGAUUUCAAUACUGAGCAACACAGCAUCCUUUCACAGCUGCAGAGAAAACCAAACCCACAACUGAAUUCACUUGAGCAGGUAACACAUUUUUGUCCUGUCUCAUUAAUCUGUGUUCUUAUUUCUAAGCCCUUGCCAAGACUCUUGGUUGCCAUUUUAUCACCAGCAAGGGCACAAGAAAAAGAGAGCUUUGUGAUUCAUUCCAGGGCAAGAAAGAGAUCCUGCUGCUCAAACAGAACAGAAAUAAAAUGAAAAGGUGAUUCGUGUAUGCUGCCAUCCUCGUCAGACAAUUGGCAUCAACAGUUCUCAAAAGCAGAACUGCAAAUCUGUAUUGAAGUCAGAGAUUCUUAGGAUCAGAAUCAAAGGGAUGAUUGACAGAAAUAUGCAGCACUUUUUGCUUUUCCAUGACAGACCAACAUUUAAGAGAAACACCACUCUGUUCACAGUAUAGCUUUAUCUUUUAAUCUUCAAGUCAAACACCACUACAGUGUCAGGUGUAAUAAAUUCUUAUACCUCAAAGCACAUUAGAAAGCCAGCUGGAGCUGCUUUAAAUUAGAAGUGCACCAUGCAUUUUGUUUCUUUUUCCCUGACCACACAUGAGGAAGAAAGAAUCAGCAUGUACCCAGAAAAGAUGGGGUGAGGGACAGCCCCCAAAGGAAGCAGCUACAGCCAGGCAUUAAGUAAAUACUGUUUGUCUUUUAUCUGCUGCAGAGAACCUGAGGCACUGUGUUCUGACAUGAGAUGGUACAGGAAGCAUUUGGAGUGAAGUGAGAAUCUACAACCAAAAAUUGUAUUUAGAGAAUGUAACACAGAGCUUGGGCUUUGAACUAGGCCUUCAAGGUAAGGCAGUGGGAGGAAGUCAGGUUGAACAGUCUAUCUUACUCCAAUAAAUCCAAACCAGCCCAGGAACCACACUGUUCUUUAACUUUAGAUGGUACAGAACACUACAGGUUGGUUUAUGUUUGUUUGGGAUUUUUUUCCUGCAUCUGAAAAGUUACAGUAACUAGGAUUCUAGAUAUGUCAAAAAACCAUCUCUCCCACUUACCCAAGUUCAUUGCAUAUAAUGUGCCUCAAUGAAGGCACUUCAAGAGAAGUUCAGAAAAAAAAUAUCAAAUUUUAUUUGCACUCCCCAUCCUCCCCAGGGCCAGCUGUACUUAUUUUUAAUGAUCCAAGUCUAUCUAUUGCUUUGCAGUUGUUCCCAUCAGAAGAACAUCUCCCAUGUUGGGAUUAUGUAAAGUUUCAGCCUAAGGAAGAUGGGUUUUCCAAAGCUAUGUCCCAAAUACAAGUACAAUAGAUGACAAAUGUUCUUUUUAUUUUAAAAGCAUACAAAAAUAUACCACACAUUUAAAUGCAUUUCUCUUUUACCAUACAGAUUUAGACAAUAAAAUAUGGUUAAGAAAUCUUAAAUCAACAAAAUAUGAAUCAGCUGUCAAAUAAGUAUAUGGUCAACCUGCAAGUACAAAUGUUUUUGUAAAGUAUCUUCAUCAAAAAUUAAGGAAGCCAGAAAUCAAGCAAAAUCCACCUUUAACACCUUUCCCAACACCAUUAGAAACUAUUUAAAAGUAAUUCUUUGUAUUUACUACAGAUUUUUGAAGAGUCCUCAAUGUUUUCUUUGAAUUGAAAAUUUGAUUCUUAACAUUUGAAAUUAUUUAUGAAGCUCUAAAAUGAACAUGAUUUGCUUAACAUAUUUGAAGUAUUUUGCUGACCAAAGCUCCCGAGCCCUUGGAGAAAACUGGCUCAUGUAGUGGCAGCUUAGCUGGCAUGCAAAAAUCUAAGUCCACAAAAAGAAGAGCUCCCUAUUAACUAUGUGCUUGGAUUGCAUUUUCUCAAUGAAUUAAUACAUGCUAAGAGACACAGGAAAAAAAAGAGUUUCUUUCUUCUUGUAAGUACCUACAACCUGAAGCUCAGGAAAGAUUAACCUCUCCCAGGAUUUUUUUUUGGCCCAGAACAUGAAGUGAAUAAUGAAACCCUGAGUGCCUGUAAUUUAGAAUCCAGUGGUGCCAAAAAGGCCUCAUACUCAAAUUCUGAAAUCAUCAUGGGAAAAAAAAUUCAAGUAAAAAAAAUUAAGUGGAAAACCCAUUACUGCCUGAUAGCCCUUGGAUAAGCAAGCAGGUAUGUUUUCUCCUCACCCACAGAAAACCUAAAUUCAGAAGUAGCAGCAUUGUCAAGCCCUCCCAUCUCUUCAGCACAGAAGAGCAGCAUCACCUGAGUGCUGCUGAACACACAAACAGGCAGGAGCAACAGACAGAACUUUUUUUUAGUGUCAAACCCUUUCGAACUAACUUUAUUUGACAAAACAGUUAUAUAGAACAUUUUGUAUUAAAAAGUUUAAAAAGCAACUUAAGUGUUUUCUCCAUGACAACAAAGAGUAAUUUAAUCAGGAGUUUGUUUGAAGCAAAUAAUAAACCAGUCUGUCAAGUAUUUAUCCCAAACUUCAAGCUUUCCUACGUAUUUCAUACGUUACGAGUCUUUGUUUCUUCUAGCAACAGGGAAGAAGGGCAGGCCUAGCCUGUUUCAAGGUUCCACCUAUUCUCCAAGCUCAGACACUCCAACUACUUUGAACAUCUCUGGCUAAUCAUAUUCCUUAGGAGCUGGUGGACAGCAAAAGUGUGUUUACAAAUUCCACAACACAAGUGGGACACCCUGGAAACAGACAGUUUUGUGACCUUCAGUCCAGAGUAAAAAAAAAAAAUCUCUAUCUGGAGUAACCAUAACCUGAAUAAUUUCCCUACCCACAGAUCCGUGCUUUCUUCUGACAUUUUUCCUUAGCAGACUUUCCAGCUACAACAGCUCACACACAGUACCCACCUGACAGCAGCCACAGGCUGUUAACAUGGGGAAUAUAUUAGAUCAACCUUGAUGUCACAUUCAGAAGUUUUCAGAAUACAUCCAGUUCUUUGUACACCACAUGUAUGACCCAAGAGUGAACCCAGGGAAGAUACUUUGAAGUAUGUAUCAAUUUGCAUCCCUUAUCUACUGGCAGUGGUGUCACAGUGACAACCAUUUUGGUUAAGAAAUAAUUCAUGAGGUCCCUAAAGAAACCACUUGCCUUGGAGAUCAAUUCAUCGUGAUUGGCGAGAUGGGCUCUGCAGUGGAUGCAGCUGUAGGUUCGGUGACAGUUUGGCAGGUAAGCCUGGAACGUUUUUGACUUUGUCAUUUUUACCAUCUCUGCUGGUGGCUCCUCACUCAGCUCAGGGCUGGCACUUGAAGAAUUACAACUUUGCUGAA